ACGGGAGGCAGCAGUGAGGAAUAUUGGACAAUGGGGGCAACCCUGAUCCAGCCAAACCGCGUGAGGGAUGAAGGUCCUACGGAUCGUAAACCUCUUUUAUGUGGGAAUAAUUAGCGGAACGUGUUCCGCUUUGAAGGUACCACUUGAAUAAGCAUCGGCUAACUCCGUGCCAGCAGCCGCGGUAAUACGGAGGAUGCGAGCGUUAUCCGGAUUUAUUGGGUUUAAAGGGUGCGUAGGCGGGAUGUUAAGUCAGCGGUGAAAGCGUGUAGCUCAACUAUACCAAGCCGUUGAAACUGGCGUUCUUGAGUGUAAACGAGGUAGGCGGAAUGUGACGUGUAGCGGUGAAAUGCUUAGAUAUGUCACAGAACCCCGAUUGCGAAGGCAGCUUACCAGCAUACAACUGACGCUGAGGCACGAAAGUGCGGGAAUCAAACAGGAUUAGAUACCCUGGUA
rnacentral:rRNA from 1 species